GGCUCUGUGGCGCAACGGUAGCGCAUCUGACUCCAGAUUAGAAGGUUGUCCGUUCGAAUCGGGCCGGGGUCA
rfam:Perkinsus marinus ATCC 50983 gcontig_1104296267784, whole genome shotgun sequence.